AACAUACUCACUUCGUCCGUAAUUACUUGUUGGAGAAAUGGAUGUAUCUAGACGUAUUUUAGUUCUAUAUACAUCCAUUUUUAUUCGUCUUGACGACAAGUAAUUCCGGACAGAGAGAGUAGCAA
rfam:Triticum aestivum genome assembly, contig: Triticum_aestivum_CS42_TGACv1_scaffold_093067_2AL